UCAGCUGCUUGGGACGGGAGGAUGCGGAUCAGGAGCUUAUGGAGCUGCUAGCAUCCGAGGCAUCGUUCGAUUCGGUGGCUGCUGAA
rnacentral:tRNA from 1 species